rnacentral:rRNA from 1 species
AGAGUUUGAUCCUGGCUCAGGACGAACGCUGGCGGUGCGCCUUAUGCAUGCAAGUUGAGCGAAGCUUUUUGGUAGUUUACUACUAGAAAUGACUGAGCGGCGAACGGGUGAGUAACGCGUGAGCAAUCUACCUUAGUUACUGGGAUAGCCCGAGGAAACUCGGAUUAAUACCAGAUAUUCUUAUUUUUUCACAUGAAGUUUUAAGGAAAGGUCAGCCGAACUAAGAUGAGCUCGCGUUCUAUCAGCUAGUUGGUGGGGUAAAAGCCUACCAAGGCAACGACGGAUAGCUGGUCUGAGAGGACGAUCAGCCACACUGGGACUGAGACACGGCCCAGACUCCUACGGGAGGCUGCAGCAGGGAAUAUUGUGCAAUGAGCGAAAGCUUGACACAGCGACACCGCGUGUGGGAUGACGGUUCUAGGAUUGUAAACCACUUUCAGGAGGGAAGAAAAUGACGGUACCUCCACAAGAAGACCCGGCCAACUAUGUGCCAGCAGCCGCGGUAAUACAUAGGGGUCAAGCGUUGUCCGGAUUUAUUGGGCGUAAAGAGCUCGUAGGCGGUUCAACAAGUCGGUCGUAAAAGUUUAGGGCUCAACCCUAAAAUGUCGAUCGAUACUGUUGUGACUAGGAUACGGUAGAGGUGAAUGGAAUUCCGAGUGUAGCGGUGAAAUGCGUAGAUAUUCGGAGGAACACCAAUUGCGAAGGCAGUUCACUGGACCGUGAUCGACGCUGAGGAGCGAAAGCUAGGGGAGCAAACAGGAUUAGAUACCCUGGUAGUCCUAGCUGUAAACGAUGGAUACUAGAUGUAGGAACUGGAUUGACGGUUUCUGUAUCGUAGCUAACGCGUUAAGUAUCCCGCCUGGGGAGUACGGUCGCAAGACUAAAACUCAAAGGAAUUGACGGGACCCCGCACAAGCGGCGGAGCAUGCGGCUUAAUUCGAUGAUACCCGUAGAACCUUACCUGGACUUGACAUAUAGGGAAAAACUGGAGAAAUCCAGUGUGCGUAAGCGCCCUUUACAGGUGGUGCAUGGCUGUCGUCAGCUCGUGUCGUGAGAUGUUGGGUUAAGUC